AGAGUUGAUCAUGACUCAGGAUGAACGCUGGCGGCGUGCUAACACAUGCAAGUCGAACGGAGUUAAGAAGGAAGCUUGCUUCAUUUAACUUAGUGGCGGACGGGUGAGUAACGCGUGAGGAACCUGCCCUUCAGUGGGGAACAACAACUAGAAAUGGUUGCUAAUACCGCAUAAUGUCGGAGUACCGCAUGACAUUCCGACCAAAGGAUUUAUUCGCUGAAGGAUGGCCUCGCGUCCGAUUAGAUAGUUGGUGAGGUAACGGCCCACCAAGUCUACGAUCGGUAGCCGAACUGAGAGGUUGAUCGGCCACAUUGGGACUGAGACACGGCCCAGACUCCUACGGGAGGCAGCAGUGGGGAAUAUUGGGCAAUGGGCCGAAAGCCUGACCCAGCAACGCCGCGUGAAGGAUGACGGUCUUCGGAUUGUAAACUUCUUUAAUUGGGGAAGAACAAAAUGACCUACCCAAAGAAUAAGUCACGGCUAACUACGUGCCAGCCGCCGC
rnacentral:rRNA from 1 species